AUGGCACAGGGAGCAUGUCAGCAACUUUCCACGUCUUCCCUUGGUGGCUCCCUCUCUUCCCUCCAGCCUGAGGUCUCUUGUCUUCUUGGGUGGUCUCACUUAAUCCCAGUGGCUUGGAGGCCAGGCUCAUGCUGGCCUGAGAAUAAAGGAGGGAAGGGGGGAGACAAGGGAGAGAGAAACAGGAGAACAGGGAGACACAAACAUAACAGAAGCCAACAAGGAAGGGUGAUGGAUAGGAGAGCAGAUCCUGAGUGUCAAAAUUUGCUGGAGGGAGUCCAUAAGACUUUGCUCACAUUCAAAGGCCACAGGAUUUGGUGUGUGGAUGGUGCGCAUGUCUGAGGGCUUUCGAGAGAUGCCCCUUGCAAUAUGUUAGUGAGAGUGAGACUAGAAGGAACCAAGGAUAUUCUGAUAAUUGCCUUCACACCAUCUAUCGCACUGUUUUCCCCAAAGACUCUUCUUGCAGGUGUUAUAGUUUCCUGAUUAGUAAGAGCAGCGGCUCUCACAAUAAGCUGGGAGGAAGUAUUUCUUCCUGAUCAAUCUAAGUAUCAUUUUAUUUAACAGUAUAAGAUUAGAACGUGGGAAGUGUCAUGGGUACGGAGCCUUCAAUACCAAUCUGCCAGCAUCUACCAACAAAAAUUAUUAACCAGUUGCAGGAGUCACUCAGGCUCACACAGCCGACUCUCGGAGUUGCCCCAUCUGGUGUGAUUAACGUCACAGAAUGCAUUCUUAAAGACACAAACUGUGUCCCUAAGUGCUUGUCCAUUAAAAACUCCAAAAUGUCACAAAAUGAAGAAAAAAUUAAUUGAAACAUCAAAUCCUAAAUUAGAAGUCUGGGGCAUGGUUAUUUGAAGCAAUAAUUUUAAGAAUGGAAUCAACUUAGGACAAGGUAUGAUAUUUUUAUCUCCCAGUCGCCACGAAGAAUCUCUAUUAUCAGCUUUCUUCCAAAACUUGGAAUAUAUCACCAUUUGGAAUGUUAAUUUUUCCACCCUGGUCACUGUGAAUCAUUAUCACUGAAUUCAGAUGAGUAAGAUUUUAUUUUUUGUUUCUGCUUAACAAAUUCUAGAGCUAUGAGAGAAAAGUUAUUUUCCUCCAAGCUGAGCGAGAAUCAACUGCCUUGAUUUAAAGCUAAGAAUGAGGGAUGCCCGAGUGGCUCAGUGGGUUAAGCCUCUGCCUUCAGCUCAGGUCAUGAUACCAGGGUCCUGG
rnacentral:lncRNA from 1 species